UACGGAGGGGGCUAGCGUUGUUCGGAAUUACUGGGCGUAAAGCGCACGUAGGCGGCUUUGUAAGUUAGAGGUGAAAGCCCAGGGCUCAACCCUGGAAUUGCCUUUAAGACUGCAUCGCUAGAAUUGUGGAGAGGUAAGUGGAAUUCCGAGUGUAGAGGUGAAAUUCGUAGAUAUUAGGAAGAACACCAGUGGCGAAGGCGGCUCACUGGCCCGGUACUGACGCUGAGGCGCGAAAGCGUGGGGAGCAAACAGG
rnacentral:rRNA from 1 species